UGCCCACUGAUAAUUUAUUAAAGGGCUGCAGUAUUUUGACUGUACAAAGGUAGCAUAAUCAUUAGUCAUUUAAUUGAUGACUUGUAUGAAAGAUUGGAUGAAAUAUAAACUGUCUCUAAAUUAAUAUAUAGAAUUUAAUUUUUUAAUUAAAAAGUUAAAAUAAUUUAAAAAGACGAGAAGACCCUAUAGAGUUUUAUUUUAAUUUAUUUUUUAAUAUUUUAUAAUUUUAAUAAAUUAAUUUUUAAAUUAAAAUUUUAUUGGGGUGAUAAAAAAAUUAAAUAAACUUUUUUUUAAAAUAAACAUUAAUAAGUGAUUAUAUGAUCCAAUUUUAUUGAUUAAAAGAAAAAAUUACCUUAGGGAUAACAGCGUAAUUUUUUUUUUUAGUUCAAAUAAGAAAAAGAGUUUGCGACCUCGAUGUUGGAUUAAGAUAAAAUUUAAAUGCAGAAGUUUAAAAUUUUUGA
rnacentral:rRNA from 1 species